GAUGAAGAACGUAGCGAAAUGCGAUAAGUAGUGUGAAUUGCAGAAUUCAGUGAAUCAUCGAAUCUUUGAACGCACAUUGCGCCCCAUGGUAUUCCGUGGGGCAUGCCUGUUCGAGCGUCAUUUACCCCCUCAAGCUCCGCUUGGUGUUGGGCGUCUGUCCCGCUUCGCGCGCGGACUCGCCCCAAAGGUAUUGGCGGCGGUCGUGCCAGCUUCUCGCGCAGCACAUUGCGCUUCUCGAGGCACCGGUGGGCCCGCGUCCAUCAAGCUCACCCCCCCAGUUUGACCUCGGAUCAGGUAGGGAUACCCGCUGAACUUAAGCAUAUCAAUAAGCGGAGGA
rnacentral:misc_RNA from 1 species